rnacentral:rRNA from 1 species
AACGAACGCUGGCGGCGUGGAUAAGACAUGCAAGUCGAACGAUUACUAGUGGGUAGCAAUAUUCGCUAGUGAGAGUGGCGCAAGGGUGCGUAACACGUGGGUAAUUUGCCGUGAAGUCUGGGAUAACUUGCUGAAAGGCGAGCUAUUACCGGAUGUGAUUACUGGGAGGCAUCUUCUGGUACUUAAAGUCGGGGACCGCAAGGCCUGACACUUCUCGAUAAGCCCGCGGCCUAUCAGCUAGUUGGUGAGGUAACGGCUCACCAAGGCUAAGACGGGUAGCUGGUCUGAGAGGACGACCAGCCACACUGGAACUGAGACACGGUCCAGACACCUACGGGUGGCAGCAGUCGAGAAUUUUUCUCAAUGGGCGAAAGCCUGAAGGAGCGACGCCGCGUGGGGGGAUGAAUGGGCUUCGGCCCGUAAACCCCUGUCAUUUGCGAUCAAACCUCACGACUUAACACGUCGUGAGCUGAUAGUAGCGGAAGAGGAAGGGAC